GAAGAACCUUAUGUGGAAAGCCUUAUCUGGAAAAACGUCAGUCUUGAUUAGAAGGGAUAACAAGGACAUGCCUAAUCCUAUGAGUUCAGAUUUAGAAAUAAAAAAUAAAAAAAAGAAGAAAAAAGAAAAAAGAAAAAAAGGAAAAAGAAGAAAAAAGAAAAAGAGAAAAGAAAAAAAGAAAAAGGAGAGGCCAAGGUGAAAACUCGCAAAGGGCGCCUUG
rnacentral:lncRNA from 1 species